rnacentral:rRNA from 1 species
GAUGAACGCUGGCGGCGUGCCUAAUACAUGCAAGUCGAGCGAACAGACGAGGAGCUUGCUCCUCGGACGUUAGCGGCGGACGGGUGAGUCACACGUGGAUAACCUACCUAUAAGGCUGGGAUAACUACGGGAAACCGGAUACAACACCGGACAAUAUAGUGAACCGGAUGGUUCAAUAGUGAAAGACGUAUUUGCUGUCACUUAGAGAUGGAUCCGCGCCGCAUUAGCUAGUUGGUAAGGUAACGGCUUACCAAGGCGACGAUGUGUAGCCGACCUGAGAGGGUGAUCAGCCACACUGGAACUGAGACACGGUCCAGACUCCUACGGGAGGCAGCAGUAGGGAAUCUUGCGCAAUGGGCGAGAGCCUGACGGAGCAACGCCGCGUGAGUGAUGAAGGCCUUCGGGUCGUAAAGCUCUGUUAUUGGGGACGAACAAAUGUGUGAGUAACCAUCGACGUCAUGACGGUACCUGAACAAAAAGCCACGGCUAACUACGUG